CCCAUUUUAAAAGAUUAGGUCAUGGGGGUCUGUAUUGGGUGUCAUUUAAACUCAGGUCUUCCUGAUUGUCCAGUAAGUGGGACGGCUUGAUCCGGCCUUUUCCUCUCCAUUUUCUCUCAGACCAUGGUUAUUCACCGCCCUCUGGGUACUUGCCCCUUCCCCCAACAAUGAAGUUGUUUUGUUUUGUUUUGUUUUUUGCUGAGGCCGUUGGGGCUAAGUGACUAGCUCAGGGUCACACAGCCAGGAAGUGUUAAGGGAGGCCACAUUUGAACUCGGGUCCUCCGGACUUCAGGGCUGGUGCUCUAUCCAUUGAGCCACCGCGCUGCCCCCGAAGCAUCUCUGAAGGGCUAUUUAUUACACACUAGAGCAGGGGACCCGAAGAUAACAACGAAACAAGGCUGGACUUCCUCCAGGAGUUUACAACAGGACUCCUGGAGGUGGGGCGGGAGGGGUGAUGGCGGAGGAGAACGAGUCUGUACAUAGGCUUGAACUAGCCGUUACACAAUCUAUAGAAACUUCAUUCCGACGUUCAUUCAGAAGAUCCCCGUGACCCCACCUCCUCCACGGAGACCACGCCCAGGCUACGUACGGCCCGGACAGCGCGGACCCGAUCUGGUCAGAGCCCAGUAAACGAAGCAAACAACAAUCGCACCCUUCCAUCCCGCUCCCCGACAGACGGGGCUCUGGCACCUGCGGUGGAACUCCCUGCUCCGCUCUCAGGUGCUUCCGAGCCGAGGGUCCCGGGGCCCCGAGAGGGGGAGGGGACCAAAGCCUCCCCGGAAUCCCCUGGGGCGAGGAGGGCCUUGGCUCCCGCACAGCUCCGUCUCCUCGGGGCAGCCGCGCUCAGCCCAGGCCCCAGACAGCAGCGGGUGCGAGGACCUGCGCCCCGGAGGCCCACCUUCCCGGAUCCCGCCAGGGGAAAGAGAGGGUACUUUUUCCUGGCUGGGGGAGCGAAGAUAAAACCGGAGGGGGCGGUGCUCUACAAUCAGUUCUCAUUGGCUGCGUCCGCCGCAGACUAAAACUUUAAGCCAAUGAAAAAGAGGCCAUGGCGUGACGUGACGUGACGUGACGGGAAUUCCCCGGGGAGGGCGGAAAAGGGGCUUUCCCGGUUGGGGCUGCAGGUGGCCGGGUGGCACUGGGGUCGGAAGACUAGCGAAGGCAGAACUAGCCGGUGGCGGGGCCGGAGCCGGAGCCGGAGCCGGAGCCGGAGCCGGAGCUGCAGCCGCAAAUUCGUAGAAUGUUCGAGCUGCGAGGGAUCCCGGUCCUCGGCACCCAGGUGUCCCUGGCAGUCGGACGUGCCCGGAGCUGCAGGGACGCAGACGCGGACCUGGCCUGAGGGGUGCCCCUCCACACCCACAAGCGCAGGUAGGAGCCUUGGCGGUACAGCGGCAGCAGAAGCUGGACAGAGCCCAGCUCUAAAACAUGGACGAUUGCUAUGGCCCAGUGAGUGCUAGCCUAAGUGUCUCUCUUUGUGG
rnacentral:lncRNA from 1 species